rnacentral:rRNA from 1 species
AGCGACAGAAAGGAGCUUGCUCCUUUGACGUUAGCGGCGGACGGGUGAGUAACACGUGGGCAACCUACCCUAUAGUUUGGGAUAACUCCGGGAAACCGGGGCUAAUACCGAAUAAUCUCUUUUGCUUCAUGGUGAGAGACUGAAAGACGGUUUCUGCUGUCGCUAUUGGAUGGGCCCGCGGCGCAUUAGCUAGUUGGUGAGGUAACGGCUCACCAAGGCGACCAUUCCUAGCCCACCUGAGAGGGUGAUCGGCCACACUGGGACUGAAACACGGCCCAGACUCCUACCGGAGGCAGCAGUAGGGAAUCUUCCACAAUGGGCGAAAGCCUGAUGGAACAACCCCCCGUGAGUGAAGAAGGUUUUCCGAUCCUAAAACUCUUUUGUAAGGGAAGAACAAGUACCGUAGUAACUGGCUGUACCUUGACCGUACCUUAUUAGAAAGCCACGGCUAACUACCUGCCAGCAGCCGCGGUAAUACCUAGGUGGCAAGCGUUGUCCGGAAUUAUUGGGCGUAAAGCGCGCGCAAGCCGUCCUUUAAGUCUGAUGUGAAAGCCCACGGCUCAACCGUGGAAGGUCAUUGGAAACUGGGGGACUUGAGUGCAGAAGAAGAAAGUGGAAUUCCAAGUGUAGCGGUGAAAUGCGUAGAGAUUUGGAAGAACACCAGUGGCGAAGGCGACUUUCUGGUCUGUAACU